GAGGGAAGANGGCCUCUGGGCUUGUAAACCUCUUUUCUCAGGGGAAGAAGAUCUGACGGUACNUGAGGAAUAAGCCNCGGGCUAAUUCCGUGCCAGCAGCCGCGGUAAUACGGGAGUGGCAAGCGUUAUCCGGAAUUAUUGGGCGUAAAGCGUCCGCAGGCGGCCUUUCAAGUCUGCUGUUAAAGCGUGGAGCUNAACUCCAUNAAGGCAGUGGAAACUGUUGGGCUUGAGUGUGGUAGGGGCAGAGGGAAUUCCCGGUGUAGCGGUGAAAUGCGUAGAUAUCGGGAAGAACACCAGUGGCGAAGGCGCUCUGCUGGGCCAUAACUGACGCUCAUGGACGAAAGCCAGGGGAGCGAAAGGGAUU
rnacentral:rRNA from 1 species